GAUGAACGCUGGCGGCGUGCCUAAUACAUGCAAGUCGAGCGAACGGACGAGAAGCUUGCUUCUCUGAUGUUAGCGGCGGACGGGUGAGUAACACGUGGAUAACCUACCUAUAAGACUGGGAUAACUUCGGGAAACCGGAGCUAAUACCGGAUGAUAUUUUGAACCGCAUGGUUCAAAAGUGAAAGACGGUCUUGCUGUAACUUAUAGAUGGAUCCGCGCUGCAUUAGCUAGUUGGUAAGGUAAUGGCUUACCAAGGCAACGAUGCAUAGCCGACCUGAGAGGGUGAUCGGCCACACUGGGACUGAGACACGGCCCUGACUCCUACGGGAGGCAGCAGUAGGGAAUCUUCCGCAAUGGGCGAAAGCCUGACGGAGCAACGCCGCGUGAGUGAUGAAGGUCUUCGGAUCGUAAAACUCUGUUAUUAUGGAAGAACAUAUGUGUAAGGAACUGUGCACAUCUUGACGGUACCUAAUCAGAAAGCCACGGCUAACUACGUG
rnacentral:rRNA from 1 species